UACGUAGGGUGCGAGCGUUGUCCGGAAUUACUGGGCGUAAAGAGCUCGUAGGUGGUUUGUCGCGUUGUUCGUGAAAUCUCACGGCUUAACUGUGAGCGUGCGGGCGAUACGGGCAGACUAGAGUACUGCAGGGGAGACUGGAAUUCCUGGUGUAACGGUGGAAUGCGCAGAUAUCAGGAGGAACACCGGUGGCGAAGGCGGGUCUCUGGGCAGUAACUGACGCUGAGGAGCGAAAGCGUGGGGAGCGAACAGG
rnacentral:rRNA from 1 species